rnacentral:rRNA from 1 species
CCUANGGGGGGCAGCAGUGGGGAAUUUUGGACAAUGGGGGCAACCCUGAUCCAGCCAUGCCGCGUGCGGGAAGAAGGCCUUCGGGUUGUAAACCGCUUUUGGUCGGGAAGAAAAGGUUAUCCCUAAUAAGGGUGACUCUUGACGGUACCGGCAGAAUAAGCACCGGCUAACUACGUGCCAGCAGCCGCGGUAAUACGUAGGGUGCAAGCGUUAAUCGGAAUUACUGGGCGUAAAGCGUGCGCAGGCGGUUUGUUAAGUCUGAUGUGAAAGCCCCGGGCUCAACCUGGGAACUGCAUUGGAAACUGGCAAGCUCGAGUAUGGCAGAGGGGGGUGGAAUUCCGCGUGUAGCAGUGAAAUGCGUAGAGAUGCGGAGGAACACCGAUGGCGAAGGCAGCCCCCUGGGCCAAUACUGACGCUCAGGCACGAAAGCGUGGGGAGCAAACAGGAUUAGAUACCCCUNUANUC